rnacentral:rRNA from 1 species
AGAGUUUGAUUCUGGCUCAGGACGAACGCUGGCGGCGUGCCUAAUACAUGCAAGUAGAACGCUGAAGAGAGGAGCUUGCUCUUCUUGGAUGAGUUGCGAACGGGUGAGUAACGCGUAGGUAACCUGCCUUGUAGCGGGGGAUAACUAUUGGAAACGAUAGCUAAUACCGCAUAACAAUGGAUGACACAUGUCAUUUAUUUGAAAGGGGCAAUUGCUCCACUACAAGAUGGACCUGCGUUGUAUUAGCUAGUAGGUGAGGUAAUGGCUCACCUAGGCGACGAUACAUAGCCGACCUGAGAGGGUGAUCGGCCACACUGGGACUGAGACACGGCCCAGACUCCUACGGGAGGCAGCAGUAGGGAAUCUUCGGCAAUGGGGGCAACCCUGACCGAGCAACGCCGCGUGAGUGAAGAAGGUUUUCGGAUCGUAAAGCUCUGUUGUAAGUCAAGAACGGGUGUGAGAGUGGAAAGUUCACACUGUGACGGUAGCUUACCAGAAAGGGACGGCUAACUACGUGCCAGCAGCCGCGGUAAUACGUAGGUCCCGAGCGUUGUCCGGAUUUAUUGGGCGUAAAGCGAGCGCAGGCGGUUUGAUAAGUCUGAAGUUAAAGGCUGUGGCUCAACCAUAGUUCGCUUUGGAAACUGUCAAACUUGAGUGCAGAAGGGGAGAGUGGAAUUCCAUGUGUAGCNGNUGAAAUGCGUAGAUAUAUGGAGGAACACCGGUGGCGAAAGCGGCUCUCUGGUCUGUAACUGACGCUGAGGCUCGAAAGCGUGGGGAGCGAACAGGAUUAGAUACCCUGGUAGUCCACGCCGUAAACGAUGAGUGCUAGGUGUUGGAUCCUUUCCGGGAUUCAGUGCCGCAGCUAACGCAUUAAGCACUCCGCCUGGGGAGU